GAGCGGGCACCUUUCGGGGUGUCAGCGGCGGACGGGUGAGUAACGCGUGGGAACGUGCCCUCUGGUUCGGAAUAACUCAGGGAAACUUGAGCUAAUACCGGAUACGCCCUUUUGGGGAAAGGCUUGCUGCCGGAGGAUCGGCCCGCGUCUGAUUAGCUAGUUGGUGAGGUAACGGCUCACCAAGGCGACGAUCAGUAGCUGGUCUGAGAGGAUGAUCAGCCACACUGGGACUGAGACACGGCCCAGACUCCUACGGGAGGCAGCAGUGGGGAAUAUUGGACAAUGGGCGCAAGCCUGAUCCAGCCAUGCCGCGUGAGUGAUGAAGGCCUUAGGGUUGUAAAGCUCUUUUAUCCGGGACGAUAAUGACGGUACCGGAGGAAUAAGCCCCGGCUAACUUCGUGCCAGCAGCCGCGGUAAUACGAAGGGGGCUAGCGUUGCUCGGAAUCACUGGGCGUAAAGGGCGCGUAGGCGGCGUUUUAAGUCGGGGGUGAAAGCCUGUGGCUCAACCACAGAAUGGCCUUCGAUACUGGGACGCUUGAGUAUGGUAGAGGUUGGUGGAACUGCGAGUGUAGAGGUGAAAUUCGUAGAUAUUCGCAAGAACACCGGUGGCGAAGGCGGCCAACUGGACCAUUACUGACGCUGAGGCGCGAAAGCGUGGGGAGCAAACAGGAUUAGAUACCCU
rnacentral:rRNA from 1 species